rnacentral:rRNA from 1 species
UACGUAGGUGGCAAGCGUUGUCCGGAUUUACUGGGCGUAAAGGGCGCGUAGGCGGCCUUCUCAGUCGGGUGUGAAAGCCCGGGGCUCAACCCCGGAACGGCACCCGAGACGGGAAGGCUGGAGACCGGGAGAGGAGGGUGGAAUAGCCAGUGUAGAGGUGAAAUUCGUAGAUAUUGGCUGGAACACCGGUGGCGAAAGCGGCUCUCUGGCCCGGUUCUGACGCUGAGGCGCGAAAGCGUGGGGAGCAAACAGG